rnacentral:rRNA from 1 species
CAGCCGUAAACAAUGUGCGUUAGGUGUGUCGGUAACCACGUGUUACUGAUGCGCCGAAGAGAAAUCGUGAAACGCACCACCUGGGAAGUACGGUCGCAAGGCUGAAAUUUAAAGGAAUUGGCGGGGGAGCACCACAACAGGUGGAGCCUGCGGUUUAAUUGGAUUCAACACCGGGAAGCUCACCGGAUAGGACAGCAGAAUGAUUGCCGGGCUGAAGACCCUGCAUGACUAGCUGAGAGGAGGUGCAUGGCGUAGACGUCU